CAUAUGCUGAUAGGAAUCAAUAAUGUAAUUAUAACAAACAUAAAAUAUAACCAAUAGAGAGAACCCAAAAAAAGCACUAGAUAUGAUCCGUACUAUCCAGUGGAUACGAUUGGGAUAGCAAGUCCAAGCGAACCAAAACAUAGAAAUGGGGAAUAAAAAACAUGCAAUAAAUAAAGGAUAAAGCCUGUCUUCCGGACACGUCAGACCGUUUCUUUUCUUAGUAGUUGUUAAAUAAUGCCAGUAAACC